rnacentral:rRNA from 1 species
CAACGAAUAUUCCGCAAUGGACGAAAGUCUGACGGAGCGACGCCGCGUGCAGGAUGAAGUCUUUCGGGAUGUAAACUGCUGUCGGGGGCGAGGAAGAAAGUGACCAGCCUCAAAGGAAGCAUCGGCUAACUCCGUGCCAGCAGCCGCGGUAAUACGGAGGAUGCAAGCGUUGUUCGGAAUCACUGGGCUUAAAGCGCGUGUAGGCGGAGUGUUAGGUGUCGUGUGAAAUCCCCGGUCUCAACCCGGGAACUGCGCGGCAUACCGGCAUUCUUGAGGCAAGCAGAGGUGACUGGAACGACGGGUGGAGCGGUGAAAUGCGUAGAUAUCCGUUGGAACGCCGGCGACGAAGGUGAGUCACUGGGCUUGUCCUGACGCUGAGACGCGAAAGCGUGGGUAGCAAACAGGAUUAGAUACCCGCGUAGUCC